GUCUUUGUAGUAUAUACAAUACUCUGGUCUUGUAAACCAAAAAAGGAGAAUAUACCCUCCCUAAGACU
rnacentral:tRNA from 1 species